UGGAUCGAUCAUACCAUGAUGAAAACUGCCCAUCCCAUCAGCACUGGGCACAUAAGCAUCAUUGGGCCAGAUCAGUAGUACGGUGGGGGACCACGUGCGAACCCCUGGUGUCGAUCUGU
rnacentral:rRNA from 1 species